GUGUUCCUGACAUAUCUAAAAUUAUCUGCACUUCAGAGCAGAAACAUUGUGUGGGUUUGUCCCCCACCAUUGCCACAACACAAAUACCCUAAGUAUCUUUCAAAAUAAACACAGGAAACUUCUUGUUGGAAGUGCAGGUGGAAGGCAGGCCCGGCUGGCUCCUGGCAUGUCACGAGCGGUGGAAUCUCUCCCUGGGGACUCUGAUCUGUAGGCAGCUGGGAUAUCUCCAGUGAUGAUAUUUGCUGUUGCUUCUGCAGACUCGCCCAUCACAAAGGAGUGAACCUGACAGAUGUCAAGAGUGCAGCGUGCGCUCCAGGGCAGCCCGGAUCGUGGGCGGAAGCGAUGCCCCAUUGGGACGCUGGCCGUGGCAGGUCAGCCUGUACCUCAACUCCAGACACGUCUGCGGAGGCUCCAUGGUGGCGCACGACUGGAUCGUCACGGCUGCUCACUGCGUGCACAAUUACAGGCAGCCUGAGGUCUACCACCCCCGCUAUGACGACAGGAGUCAUGACUAUGACAUCGCACUGAUGAAACUCACAGCGCUCUUGAACUCCUCCGAUGCCGUCCGUGCAGUGUGUUUACCGCUGUACCAGCAGGAUUUCCCCCACGGCACCCACUGCUGGAUCUCCGGCUGGGGCUACACCAGACCUGAACACGGUGAGCA